AAUGGACGCAAGUCUGAACCAGCCAUGCCGCGUGCAGGAUGACGGCCCUAUGGGUUGUAAACUGCUUUUAUACGGGAAGAACCCCCCUUACGUGUAAGGGACUGACGGUACCGUAUGAAUAAGCAUCGGCUAACUCCGUGCCAGCAGCCGCGGUAAUACGGAGGAUGCAAGCGUUAUCCGGAUUUAUUGGGUUUAAAGGGUGCGCAGGCGGGACAUUAAGUCAGUGGUGAAAGCCCCCAGCUCAACUGGGGAAAUGCCAUUGAUACUGAUAUCCUAGAGUACAGUUGGGGUAGGCGGAAUGUGUCAUGUAGCGGUGAAAUGCUUAGAUAUGACACAGAACACCGAUCGCGAAGGCAGCUUACCAAGUUGUAACUGACGCUCAUGCACGAAAGCGUGGGGAUCAAA
rnacentral:rRNA from 1 species